rnacentral:rRNA from 1 species
GAAACGACUGCUAAGACUGGAUAGGAGAUAAGAAGGCAUCUUCUUAUUUUUAAAAGACCUAGUAAUAGGUAUGCUUAAGGAAGGGCUUGCGUCACAUUAGUUAGUUGGUAGGGUAAAGGCCUACCAAGACGAUGAUGUGUAGCCGGGCUGAGAGGCUGAACGGCCACAUUGGAACUGAGACACGGUCCAAACUCCUACGGGAGGCAGCAGUAGGGAAUUUUCGGCAAUGGAGGAAACUCUGACCGAGCAACGCCGCGUGAACGAUGAAGUAUUUCGGUACGUAAAGUUCUUUUAUUAAGGAAGAAAAGAUGGUGGAAAAACCAUUAUGACGGUACUUAAUGAAUAAGCCCCGGCUAACUAUGUGCCAGCAGCCGCGGUAAUACAUAGGGGGCAAGCGUUAUCCGGAAUUAUUGGGCGUAAAGGGUGCGUAGGCGGUUUAAUAAGUUUAUGGUCUAAGUGCAAUGCUUAACAUUGUGAUGCUAUAAAAACUGUUUGACUAGAGUUGGAUAGAGGCAAGUGGAAUUCCAUGUGUAGUGGUAAAAUGCGUAAAUAUAUGGAGGAACACCAUGAGCGAAGGCGGCUUGCUGGGUCUUAACUGACGCUGAGGCACGAAAGCGUGGGGAGCAAACAGGAUUAGAUACCCUGGUAGUCCACGCUGUAAACGAUGAGUACUAGACGUUGGGUUAAACCAGUGUCGAAGUUAACACAUUAAGUACUCCGCCUGAGUAGUACGUACGCAAGUAUGAAACUUAAAGGAAUUGACGGGACUCCGCACAAGCGGUGGAUCAUGUUGUUUAAUUCGAAGAUACCCGAAAAACCUCACCAGGUCUUGACAUGCUUCUGCAAAGCUGUAGAAAUACAGUGGAGGUUAUCAGUUGUACAGGUGGUGCAUGGUUGUCGUCAGCUCGUGUCGUGAGAUGUUGGGUUAAGUCCCGCAACGAGCGCAACCCUUGUUGUUAAUUGCCAUCAUUAAGUUGGGGACUUUAGCAAGACUGCCAGUGAUAAAUUGGAGGAAGGUGGGGAUGACGUCAAAUCAUCAUGCCCCUUAUGACCUGGGCUACAAACGUGAUACAAUGGCUGUUACAAAGGGUAGCUGAAGCGCAAGUUUUUGGCAAAUCUCAAAAAAACAGUCUCAGUUCGGAUUGAAGUCUGCAACUCGACUUCAUGAAGUUGGAAUCGCUAGUAAUCGCGAAUCAGCAUGUCGCGGUGAAUACGUUCGCGGGGUUUGUACACACCGCCCGUCA